rnacentral:rRNA from 1 species
UCACUUCGGUGGUGAUUAAAGUGGCGCACGGGUGAGUAACGCGUAGACAAUCUGCCCUUCAGUCUGGGACAACUUUUCGAAAGGAGAGCUAAUACCGGAUAACAAUGUUUGACAUAAGUUAAAUAUUUGAAAGCUUUAUGUGCUGAAGGAGGGGUCUGCGUCCCAUUAGCUAGUUGGUGAGGUAAAGGCUUACCAAGGCAACGAUGGGUAGCGGGUUUGAGAGGACGAUCCGUCACACUGGAACUGAGACACGGUCCAGACUCCUACGGGAGGCAGCAGUGGGGAAUAUUGCACAAUGGAGGAAACUCUGAUGCAGCAAUGUCGCGUGAGUGAAGAAGGCCCUUGGGUCGUAAAGCUCUUUUAUGGGGGAAGAUGAUGACGGUACCCCAGGAAUAAGCACCGGCUAACUACGUGCCAGCAGCCGCGGUAAUACGUAGGGUGCGAGCGUUGUUCGGAAUUACUGGGCGUAAAGGGCGCGCAGGCGGAAUAGCAAGUCGGAGGUGAAAGCCCGGGGCUCAACCCCGGAGGGUCUUUCGAAACUGCUAAUCUAGAGAGGGUCAGGGGCCAGCAGAAUUCCUGGUGUAGAGGUGAAAUUCGUAGAUAUCAGGAGGAAUACCGGUGGCGAAAGCGGCUGGCUGGGGCCACUCUGACGCUGAGGCGCGAAAGCGUGGGGAGCAAACGGGAUUAGAUACCCCGGUAGUCCACGCCGUAAACGAUGAGCACUGGACGUCCGGAGGGUUCGACCCUUCUGGGUGUUCAGCUAACG